UACUAAAAAAAGACCCGCUAGACUUCUUUGCAAGGAGUAGAUUUAUUUGCAAAGGGAAAGAUUAGCAAAAUCACCAAAACACCUGAAGACCAAAUAAAUCAGAACUAAAACAAAUGGGGGAGUCCUCUAGAAAUACCUGUAAUCGUGCAAGGUGUUUGCAAAUAAAUGCUUUAGAAGAGAUGUUUCUUCUUUCAAAUCAGACACAAGCUGCUGAUUCCCUCUGCUUCCCUAUUGCUUCUUGCGGGUGCCCCAGGCUUUUUCCUCUAGUGCAGCUGUGCUCCACUGAAAUAAAUGGCACUUCCUGGGGACUGCAUCUUUAGUUACUGGUACAGAAGUCAUCAUAAUGUGCACCGAGAUAUUUCAAUAAUGCUUUCAAAUGGCUCUUAAAACACAACACUGCAUAAUAAAACCACAACUGCAUGGUUGCAGAUAGAGCUACCAGUGACACAGCUACCUACAUAUUAUUCCCUUCAAAGAGCAACUACUAGAGAAACUGUAGGGGAGCAAGGAAAGGCAUAAAAUCCCUCAGACACUCACUGCUGUCUGUUUUUUCUUCCCAGGUCCUUCCCAGUUUUCUGGUUUGGUUUGCAAUCUCCAAAGUACUGAGUUUUCAUCACUCAUUUAUUGCCUUGCAUCCCAGGGAAUAAUAAUAAGUGUGACAUCUGGAAAAGCAGAUUCAAGGAACAAUCCAGUGGAAGAAUGCUGACUUAGUGUAGCCCUGCUCAGGAGUGCUGGAUUGAGGGAAAAAGCUGGACUGUGGUCUGGAAUCUGCAUGUUCUUCCCAUCCAAACUGAAAUGAUCUAUUUAAAGAGCCAACAACUGCCAGCACUCACCACUCUAGCUUGACCAUGACAGUGCAGGCUUUCCAGCGGCAGUGAGCUCAGCAAUCCCCAGCUGAUGAAGAACAGCUCCAAGGUGUCUGGUGUGUGUGCCUUUAAAAGCUCAGGUUUCCUAUAGUGAGUGUUGCCAGUGGAGGAUCCAGCUUCUGCACAUGUCAGACUAAAUCCAGUUUACAUAAAAAUUGAAUUCGGUGCUUUUUGGUAGGGAAAAUUAAUGUCUUCAAGCUUCUGUGUGACUUCAGGAGGCACUGGCUAGCCAGUGCCACACCCAGCACAGACAAGGGUUACACCCCUUCCCAAAGGAAUUUCAUAGAAUCCUGGAAUCCCAGGUUGGAAGGGGCCUCAAGCAUCAUCUGGUCCAACCUUUCUAGGAAAAGCAUGACCCAGCCUAGAUGUGCAGCAUCCUGUCCAGCCAAAUCUUAAGUGUCCAGCGUGGGUGAAUCCUCCACUUCCCUGGGGAGAUCAUUCCAGUGGCUGAUUGUUCUCAUUGGGAAAUGUUUUCCUCCAGUGUCCAACCAGAAUCUCCCCAGGAUAACUUGUGCCGAUCACCCCUCAUCUUUUCCAUGUGACUCCCUGUAAAAAGGGAGUCUCCAUCUUCUUUGUAGCCCCCCUUUAAAUACUGGAACACUGUGAUAAGGUCUCCCCUGAGCCUUCUUUUCUCUGGUGAUGCCAGGCUGGGGCACCCACCACUUUAACAUUGUGCGUGUUCCCAUCACUCUAUUUCGCCAGCUGACAUAGGAGGCCCUCACAACUCUGUUUCCCAGUGAUGACCAGAACUUGUCUAUCACUUCUUGAUGGCAUCUUUUAAAUGGAUUUAAAUUUUCUUCUGAAAAAGUCAUUUUAGAAUAAUAUUCAAACCAUGGUUUAUGACUACAUUAUACCUCAGAAAUAGCUUGUCUGACUAUCCCAGUGGUGCAGGGCUUUCUCUGCUAUCCCUAUAUCUCAUAUACAAAAUGAUGGGCUAUUAUACAAAAGUCAUAUCUCUGUCUUAUUUAUUGAAGUGCUGGUUCACUAAAUAAAGGUUCUCAACAAUGAUUUGAGCUGGUUGAAAACCUGCUUGAAAAUUCUAUAUUUCAGGAAAAGCUUUUCCACGAGCUCUGUUUCUGAAGCUAAAGUACUUCAAUUCCCAAUGACCAAACCCAUUAAAAUACAAAUUAGCCUAAAGAAACAGAUGAAUUACAAUGGUGUAUUUGCAUAUCAUAUUUUGGUGUGAAUAUAACAGUGUCUUCAUGUAGACUAACAGCUCCUGCAAUCUUCACAGCCCCAUAGUUGAGUAAAUGACUGUGGGGCAAAUGAGGAAGCAAAGAAGACAAAGAUGAAUAUUAUUUAUACUGAAUAGGAGAGAAUAGUUCAGGAUUUUGUGGUUUGAAUUGAAAGCUGUGUUAAACCAAUUUCCUUCACCAAGGGAGGAAUCAAUCCUCCCUUAGCUAAUCGCUUAACAUAGGAGGUAUAUGCAUGUCUCCGUAUUCUACUAAUAGAAGGGGAUUUAAGGGGAUGGCAUGUUUUGAUUGUCUUUUCAGAACUGUAGAUAAUCUGUGAUUAUUGCAACAAGGGUGAAUGUGAUAUAAGAAAGAAAGGUGGAGAGUGAUCAGGCUGGAUGGAAUCAGAAUGCCUUAUCUCAAGGGAAUGAAAUGAUCCACCUGAGGAAAGACCUUUGCAUUCCCGAAAGGCAGCACCAGAGAUUUCUCAUAAAGUUUGACCUGUUGUUCUGUAAGUAAUAUAGCAGAGCCUCCACUACAGAGUAUCUUGUCAAUUCCUUUUAAUAAAUGAAGCUGAACUGA